rnacentral:rRNA from 1 species
CCCUUAGAUGUUCUGGGCCGCACGCGUGCUACACUGAUGCAUUCAACGAGUUUCUUCCUGGUCCGAGAGGAAUGGGUAACCUUUUGAAAGUGCAUCGUGAUAGGGAUAGACUAUUGCAAUUAUUGGUCUUCAGCGAGGAAUUCCUAGUAGACGUAGUUCAUCAGACUGCAUCGAUUACGUCCCUGCCCUUUGUACACACCGCCCGUCGCUCCUACCGAUUGAAUGCUCAGGUGAGCCAUUCGGACUUUCAUCAUGCUGGUUUCCAGUUUUGAUGAAGGAAAGUCUUGCGAACCUUAUCAUUUAGAGGAAGGAGAAGUCGUAACA